UACAGAGGUGGCAAGCGUUGUUUGGAAUUACUGGGCGUAAAGGGCGCGUAGGCGGCUUGGUCAGUCCCGUGUGAAAUCCCUCGGCUCAACUGAGGAACUGCACGGGAAACUGCCUGGCUUGAGUUCGGGAGAGGGAAGCGGAAUUCCGGGUGUAGCGGUGAAAUGCGUAGAUAUCAGGAGGAGCACCGAUGGCGAAGGCAGGUCUCUGGGCAUUAACUGACGCUGAGGAGCGAAAGCAUGGGGAGCGAACAGG
rnacentral:rRNA from 1 species